rnacentral:lncRNA from 9 species
GCUAUUUCUUGGGCCGCUCCUGCGGCACUUGGAGGUUCCCAGGCUAGGGGUCGAAUAGGAGCUGUAGCCACCAGCCUACGCCAGAGCCACAUCAACGUGGGAUCCGAGCCGCGUCUGCAACCUACACCACAGCCCACGGCAACACCGGAUCGUUAACCCACUGAGCAAGGGCAGGGACCAAACCCGAAACCUCAUGGUUCCUAGUCGGAUUCGUUAACCACUGCUCCACAGCGGGAACUCCUGAUGGCUUUCUUGAGCGAUUAUUCAAUUAUUAACUUACAGUGGUCUCCCCAAAUUCCCUAGGUUUCCCUCUCUACCUGCUUCCGUGACUACCUGUGUAACAUCCUACUCAAUCCCUAUCAACGCGACAGGUGCUCAAGAGAGCAGAGGUGGGAGGUGGGCACUGACGGAAGCCUGGAGGGAUGGAGGCUGGUGGGCAAAGCUUUUCCUCCUGCCUCUCUCUACUUGAUCCAGUGUCUCCCCUUGAUGAUUUCCUGGCAGCCCUGAAUAUUUGAUGCAGGUAUUUCCACGAAUGAAAGAGAUGCGCUUCCUUCCCACCUGUCCCAGCAGCCUGAGGGAGGGCUUCUCUGGCUCCUGGAGAGGGUCAAGGGAGCCAGCAUGGCCAGGAGACAUGGGGUGUGGGAAUCCCACACGUCUGAGGUCAGCAGGAUGGUGAUGCCCGCCCCACUCCACCUCCACUCCGCAUCUUCCCAGCACAGGAGGGCAUCUUGCACCUUGGCUAAGCCCAGCCUAAACUGCUGACCUGCUGAACAGGUCACCAAAACUAGAACCCAAAAAUAAUGUCUGUUCUUUCAACCCCGGAGGCAAGAUAUUAACUCGGGGGAGUCAGUGUAGGAACAUGGGCUGGAUACAGUCUUUGAUAUGGAUAUUGAUUAACUUUUGUGGCUUAAGGGCUCCAGGGAGUAACACCCCCACUGGACUUGUUUUAUUAUAGGAAAUGUGCCUUCCCCACAGGCCUUGUUUACUAUAGGAAUACAACUCUCCAGCCCACUCCUCAACUGAUAGAAAAGGAAUGAGAGGAAUGGUGACUUAGUCUAAGGAAAGAAAAGGACAAAGAAACCAUAAAACUUCCACGGGACAUUUCCACGCCUAGAACCCCUAUUGGACCAGGACUGAUGGAGGUAACUGGGCAGGGCCAAUGGGAGAAAAUCACAUUUUUCUGGACCCCACGUUGGUACCUCCCCCCACCUUUAAGAGAUAAAAAUCCCUAUAGGACAAUAAAGAAGGGGGCUCUUCUCCCCCUCCCAGCAGCCCUGAGAGCUCUUUGCUUUCCUGUAAUAAAGACUUUGCUUGCUUGCUGCCUGUGUGUUCGCGGAGUUCAUUCUUUGACUGCCGUGAACAAGAACCCAGAUUCUGAUAACAUCUUUCCGUCAUCACCCCUAAGUUUUGAAAUUAAUGACAGAGCAAGAGCCACCUGAUCGCCCAGUCCCCAGAGCCGUCCCUCCUCAAGGCUCCACGUUCUGAGAUAAUAAAUGUUCUUUGGGUUUGGGGUUUUGUUUGUUGGUUGGUUUUUGUUUUUAGGGCCACAUGUGCGGCAUAUGGAAGUUCCCAGGCUAGGGGUCAAAUUGGAGCUGCAGCUACCUGUCUACACCACAGCCACAGCAAUGCCAGAUCUAAGCCACAUCUUCGACCCACACCACAGCUCACAGCAACGCCGGAUUCUUAACCCUCUGAGGGAGGCCAGGGAUCAAACCCACGUCCUCAUGGCUACUAGUCUGGUUCUUAACUUGCUGGGCCACAACAGGAGCUCCCAGGUUUUUUUGGGGGGGGCGGGGGGGUUACUUUGAAAUGCCACUCUUCGAUGCCAUCACUGUCAGCUCCCAGAUAGAGCACUGCUGGGGGCUGAAAAGAUGAGAAGAGGCCCCUGCCUUCAAGGAAAUGACAGGCCCGUUGAAGUUAAGACACAUUUUCAACCAGGCUGUCAACUCUUUGAGGUGAGGGGCUGGCAAUAUCUGUGUCUGUGGAAAGGAUUUGAAUCUGAAGCACAGUAAUUUGCAGAGCGAUACAAGGUCACCCCUCUAGGGACACAGUGAGUGGGCCUGUCCCCCCAUAUGGAGGCCUCAUGAAGCAGGACAGGUGCCGGGUGGUCCUUGAAGGAGGUGUGAGACUCAAAGAGAUGGGGGUAUGAGGGGAGACAGAGAAAGGCAGGAUCCUCUCGGGCCCUGGAAAGAUGGCUGCUCCAUAGGGAUUUGUCCUGGGAACAGGUGAAUGGCUGGGAAGUGAGCUCAGAUGUGGUGAUUCAGGGCAUGAAAGACACCUACCAGAAGAAGCGCUCUCUCAAGGCAGCUGGCAAAAUUCAUUCUACGAGGUCACGAGGCAGACCUGGCACAAGCCACUGUCCCCUGUAGCCAAGCUCCAGAAGCCUCUCAAAGGCUCAUUGUCUCAGGGGCCACCAGGCCAAUGCCAGUGACCUUGGAAGUGCUCAGGCCAAAAGAAUCUCUAUCCACUUGUGCAUCCCUGUGACCUUACCCAGCGGGCUUCCUGCCGGCCUGGGGUGGGGUCGAAGAGCAGGCCUUUAAUUGGAUUGUAGGCUAAAUGGACUUCCGAAGCCUGGAAGCGGAGUAAGAGAGGCACCUGCUUCUUCUAGUUGCUACACACUGCCCCAUCCCCCACUCUGUCUGUGCUGCCGGGGCCUCAGAGGAAUGAUGACGGGCUGCAGGGUGACAGCCGAGCUCUGCACAGGGCCGUCCCCCUCAGGGCCUGGAGACCAGGCAAAAGGAAGCCCCUGUCUUCUGCUCCCAGCUCUGAACACAAAGGCACCCGAUAAUUCCCAAACUAGAACCAAACCAGCUCCAGCAUUCAAGCACAGAGCAGCUAUUGCUCAUUUUGUUCAAGGAGAUUUCUUGCUUUUGCUGAGCAAUGCUCAUGGGCUAAAUAGAUCCCAGCUCCAUUAGAAAACCCUCACGGUUGUGCUGUAAAGUCAGUACCAUGGUCCCUGUGUUGUAGAGAGAAAGGUGUCUGAGGUCUCAACGCUCGUGAGUGAGAGGAGGAUUUGAACCGGUUCAGUCCGAUAGCGAAGUCCGCGCUCUGUCCACGACGCCCCCACGCGGUGCCUGGAGACUGUGAUUUCAUCAGGGUCCGCGCUGCACGCUUGUUUCACAGGAGCCUAGCUGUAGAGGCGUUGCAUCUUAGCCGAGAGCGAGUGGGUGAACAUCGGACAUCAGACCCAGCCCUGUCAUAAAGCAGCCACCAAAGCCAUGAGGCCUUGGGCCUAUCAAGUGUUUAUCAAGUGUUAUCGCCAGACUUCAAUUUUAUGUAUGUAUGUAUUGUCUCUUUAGGGCCCCACCCACAGCAUAUGGAGGUUCCCAGGCAAGGGGGCAAACUGGAGCUGUAGCUGCCAGCCUAUACCACAGCCACAGGGGAUCUAAGCCUUGUCUGCGACCUACACCACAAUUCACAGCAACCCACCAAGUGAGGCCAGGGAUCAAACCUGCAUCCUCAUGGAUACAAAUCGGGAUCAUUAUUGCUGAGCCACAAUGGGAACUCCAACUUUUUUUCAUUCAUAGAAUAAGAAAAGGAGGCUGGAUGACGGGCCAGACCCCCUCCAGCUGCUAUGGUUGAGAGGCUUUUCACCUCUUCCGUAGAGAGACUACCCCAGGCUGAACUAGGACCUUCUGUCCCAACUAAGAGCUUCUAGAAAAGCAGCUCACAUUGGCUCCUCCAGACGCUUCCAAUCCCCACUGUUAGGAAGAGGAGGUUCGAUAGCACCAACUUGGCUGCCAGAGGCUCAGCUUGGUGGGUGAUGGGGCAGUUAAGGGGGCAAUAGUGAUGGGUUCUUGGACCCACUAAUAACCAUUCAGUGGGAUGACAUUCAAUAAGAAUGGUAAAGAUCCACCAAGCCAGCCAUUCCGGGCCCGAGAAUGAUGGCUUUGCUGCCUAUGUUUUGGGAAAGGGGCACCCAUUAAUGUCAUCCACCUUCCUCUCCUUCCCAAUCCUCUCCUCCAGCAGAAAAAGCCGCAGAGCUGUGGUAUGACACGAGGGGUCGGGGGCGGGGGCCAGCCUUGCUAACAGAGGACAUGCCUUUCCUGAAAGUUGGUCCUGCAGGAUCAAAAGUCAGAAGGACAUUGAUUGACUCGCCAACCAACCCCUCAAAUCAAUUAACCACACCCAGCGGGCAGGCCCAAGAGAGAGAGAAAGAAGGGCGCUGCAGCAGAUGUCUGCCAGGUGGUGAGGGGCGUCACCUGUCCUAAGGCUGCUGCACAGGUGAAGAGAAGCGGGGGACCCACACCUGCACCUCCUCCCGGGCCUGCAGUGCCAUGACGCAAAACCCCGCCCUCCAGCAACCCAGGGACCGAGGCUGCAGGAUUCUGACCCAGACAGAGCCUGCAGUCGCUGGGAGCCGGUCCAGGACACAGCCUGUGCGAGGAAAGAGGUUUGCCCAAGGAGAGGAAGAGUGAAAAGAAACAGAAGCCAUUGCUUCCAGUCGGGGGAAGAGUUUGAGCCCAGAGCUGACUGCUGGGUGGAAGACGGGGACGAGGUGUGCGCAGGUACCUGCUUCGGAUUUCCUCUCCCUCUUCUACCUUGUAAAGCACCAGUGCGUUCGUUCCCGAUGUCUGGAGGGGAGGCUCACCCCUGCAGGGGCUACAGGAGGGAUUUAGGUGGGCCUGAAGGCUACCCUGGAGGUAGGGUGGGAGGGGAGAGAAGCUUUGGCGGUGAAGGGAGAAUUGGGAUGGGGGCGACAGCUGGGAGGAAGGGGAGGGAGCCAGGGCAGCCGCUGCUGCUGGAGGCAUCUCUGCCAGCUCCUGCUGGACACUAAUGCAGAGGGUCAGCGGUGAAGGGCUGGUCUGGGGCCAAGGGUCAGGCAGCUGUGUCCCUCCGGGUCAUUAUCUGUCACGUGGGGCAGAGCUUGGGGAAGAGAUGUGCUGGCAUAUUUCACAAGGAGGCCCCCUGGGGAGGAAGAGCAGCCUCGGUAGAAGGGAUGUGGAUGCUGGAGGCUAGGCUGUUUCCAUCCUGGAGGGUCCUCGGGGGAGGGAGGCUGCCCUUCUCCAUAGGGCCUGGCACGAUGGGGCUGGACUGGGCCGAGAACCUCUGCUGUGACUGACAGAGAAGCUGCGCAACCUUAGGCAACUCACGCAAUCUUUCUGGGCCAAGAAAAAUCAGAAAAAUGCCCACUCUGCUAACUUGGAUAGUUGUGAUGUUCAGCUGUGAAAGAGCUUUGUGACAUGUGAAGGGGACUUAAAUGGAAAGGCAUCAAAUCGUCACCACAGCCUCUUAGACUAGGGGUCCCCAGCUGUGGCGGAUGCUACAAUCUCUUGAGAAGCUUUUAAAAUAUGCUGCACCCUCAACUCCACCUUCCAUCAGUGAUUCAAAUUACGGGAGGGAGAGGGGAGGCAUUAAGACAGCACAGGGUAUAGGAAGUGGUACUUUUCAAAAACCUUCUCAGGUGACCCCAAAGCCCCAGGAAAGGUGGCGAUCCACCACCUAAGCCCCCCUACUCCCUGUUUCCUGAAGAUAGUCAGGUAGUGGACGUGUCUUAGAGAAGCAGAUCCCAGGCUUCUCCCAGAUCACCUGCAUCAGACCUUCUAGAAGGCCAGGCAACCCCUGUAUUGAACAGGGAACAGGGCAGCCUGGACGCAUCAUUCUGGGACCAGCCCAUCAAUUCCCUCCUCCCUGCAGAAUGAAUAUCUCACCCACGGCUGUCACAUGUUCUGGACAGCGCCGGGCAAAGCCGCUCAGGGAGGGUAUGUGCCCCUCCUUGGGGAACAGGUGCACCCAGGUGCUUCUAGGUCAGGGUCUUGCUAGAUGGUAUGUCCUAUCCCAUUCCUGCUCCACCAGGUGACAGCCCGAUUAUAAAGUGACAAAUGUCCCAGCCACAGAGGCUGAGAGCCUUAAGCUCAAGAGGACACUGUGAUGCAUUAUCCAUAACAAGCAGCACAGAUUAGCAGCAUUUGUCAUUUGGCCAAUAGAUCGGCCAGGCUUUUCUGUGUCACAUUCUCUCUGCUGGUUCUGUUCCAUCAUCUGAGAUCAUAGAAACACGCACACACACUCUCACACACACCAACCUCAGUAAACACACAAAGGCGGAGGGGCUGAAGAGGACUCAAGGAUCCCGGUACCCAUGCUACCUGGGAACCUGGCUGGUGUGGCACUGAAUAAUGCAGGACCCACCACUGCCCCUGGGAAUGUUCUGUUUAGUUCUCUCAUCUCAUGGGGCAAUAUUAGCCCUGCAUUUAAAAGUGACGAUGCUGGAGCCGGACUGCCUGGGGAUGCUAUCCCACCCCCCAUUUGCUGGCCAUGGAACCCUGGACCAGCGGCUCCCAUGGAGAGAGCAGAGGAGUCAGGACAUGCGGCCGCACAUGCUAUACUGGGGCAGGGUCUGCUGACAUUCAUUUCUGCUGUUAAUUUCUGCUGUGUUCAUUGUUCUUUUAUGAUAGGUGAGGAAGCUGAGGCCAAGAAAAUAAUUUACUCAAUUUAUUCAUGCUCCUUGACUCUCUCUCGUAGGAGUACAACCUAAAGGGACAGUCAUCAAUGUAAACAUGUACGUAUGUGAAAAAUGUUCACGGUAGCAUCAUUUAGAAGAAGAAAAAGUUAGAAAACAAUCUGAAUGUCUAAUAAUACAGGAUACAUUACCAAAGUGAUGGUGCGCCUGCAUGAUGGGUAGGUAAUAAUUGCAUGAGAAAAUUAGAGACAGGAGUUCCCGUCGUGGCGCAGCAGAAACGAAACUGCUAGGAACCAUGAG